rnacentral:lncRNA from 1 species
UUUUUUUUUUUUUUUUUUAAUUUCCCUAUUUUUUAUGUUCAUUCUUCUGCAUGAACUUUGUAUUAUUUUUAUCAAAUUCCAAAUUUAGACUACAUCAAACUUAUAGACUAAUUUAGGGACAAUCACUCUCUUUAUCAGGAUUGAAUUUUUUUUUUUUGAGAUGGACUCUGUCGACCAAGCUGGAGUGCAAUGGCACGAUCUCGGCUCACUGCAACUUCUGCCUCCCGUGUUCAAGCGAUUCUCCUGCCUCAGCCUCCCGAGUAGCUGGGAUUACAGAAGCCCACCACUAUGCCCAGCUAAUUUUUUGUGUUUUUAGUAGAGAUGGGAUUUCGCUAUGUUGGCCAUGCUGGUCUCUAACUCCUGACCUUGUGAUUCCCCUGCCUCAGCCUCCCAAUGUGCUGGGAUUACAGGUGUCAGCCACUGCACCCGGCCUUCGCAUUACAUUUUAUCACUGGUCAUUUGGAAAUAAAAGAGCUAGUGACAUUGGAUAUUUAUUUUUUACCUGGGUAUAGAGUGCUCCCACCAGACACAGGCAAUUCCCCCCUUAUUUACUCAUUGCCUUAGGUCAAGUUCCCUGGGAAACAGACUUGAAGUUGGAGGUCUAUGUGCAGAAGUUUUAUGGGACUGUUCCCUCAAGAACACAUCCAUGAGUGGCUGGGUGCUGUGCUUAUGCCUGUAAUCCCAGCACUUUGGGAGGCUGAGGUGGGCGGAUCACCUGAGCUCAGGAGUGUGAGACUAGCCCGGGCAACAUGGGAAAACCCCAUCUCUACAAAAAACAUAAAAUUAGCCAGGCAUGGUGGCAUGCUCUGUUGACCCAGCUACUCAGAAGGCUGAGGUGGGAGGAUUGCUUGAGCCUAGGAGGCGGAGGUUGCAGUAAGCUGAGAUUGUGCCACUGCACUCCAGCCUGGGAGAAGAUAGACCUUGUCAGAAAAAAAAAAAGAAAAAAAAGGAAAGAAAACAUCCAUGAGGGGUGAGGGAGGGAAGCAGGAUUGGGAGAGGGAGAAAUGAACCGCAGCAAGGUUGCAACAGGGACCUCAGCUGCUCCCACAGGGAGCUCCAGAGCUGAGAUGAUCCUUCUGAGUUGUCCUGAAUUGGAGUAAGGAGGCAAGGCCUUUGUAUCCCCACAUUAACCCCUCACUGGAUGUGGGCUACCCUGGAGGAGGGGAUGUAAACUUGAGCCAGGCAGUUCCCUUUAGCAGAG